rnacentral:rRNA from 1 species
CCUACGGGUGGCAGCAGUGGGGAAUAUUGGACAAUGGGGGGAACCCUGAUCCAGCGACGCCGCGUGAGUGAAGAAGUAUUUCGGUAUGUAAAGCUCUAUCAGCAGGGAAGAAAAUGACGGUACCUGACUCACAAGCCCCGGCUAACUACGUGCCAGCAGCCGCGGUAAUACGUAGGGGGCAAGCGUUAUCCGGAUUUACUGGGUGUAAAGGGAGCGUAGACGGCAGGACAAGUCUGGAGUGAAAUCCCGGGGCUUAACCCCGGAACUGCUUUGGAAACUGUGCGGCUUGAGUGCAGGAGAGGUAAGCGGAAUUCCUAGUGUAGCGGUGAAAUGCGUAGAUAUUAGGAGGAACACCGGUGGCGAAGGCGGCGUACUGGACUGUAACUGACGUUGAGGCUCGAAAGCGUGGGGAGCAAACAGGAUUAGAUACCCUGGUAGUC